GUAGGUGGCGAGCGUUGUCCGGAAUUACUGGGUGUAAAGGGCGAGUAGGCGGACUGACAAGUCAGAAGUGAAAUCUAGGGGCUCAACCCCUAAACUGCUUUUGAAACUGUCGGCCUUGAGUGCCGGAGAGGAAAGCGGAAUUCCUAGUGUAGCGGUGAAAUGCGUAGAUAUUAGGAGGAACACCAGUGGCGAAGGCGGCUUUCUGGACGGUAACUGACGCUGAGGCGCGAAAGCGUGGGGAGCAAA
rnacentral:rRNA from 1 species